GCCAGGCAUGGUGGCCCACGCCUGUGGUCCCAGCUACUCAGGAGGCUGAGGUGGGAGGAUUGCUUGAGCUCAGGAGGUUGAGGCUGCAGUGAGCUAUGAGUGUGCCACUGGACUCCAGCCUGGGCAACAGAGCAAGACCCUGUCUCAA
rnacentral:SRP_RNA from 1 species